UACGUAGGGUGCAAGCGUUGUCCGGAAUUACUGGGCGUAAAGCGCACGUAGGCGGCUUUGUAAGUUAGAGGUGAAAGCCCAGGGCUCAACCCUGGAAUUGCCUUUAAGACUGCAUCGCUUGAACAUCGGAGAGGUAAGUGGAAUUCCGAGUGUAGAGGUGAAAUUCGUAGAUAUUCGGAAGAACACCAGUGGCGAAGGCGGCCCACUGGUCCGGUACUGACGCUGAGGUGCGAAAGCGUGGGGAGCAAACAGG
rnacentral:rRNA from 1 species